UAUGCCCAAUUUCUUUAUAAUAAGCAUAAAAGAAAUCGCUAGUAAUUUGUAUCAGUAGCUUUCUUUAAUGUUAAAUUAUAAAAGUUAAUUUUAGCUUCCUAUUACAGAUUAAUUAAAUGUAAUACACAAUAAUUAUUAUUGUCAAAUCAGUUGCCCCUUUCUGAAGACAUACAGUGCCCUAAAGUUAACUAGUAUACUACUGCUAUAGCUAUAUCUGUAUUAGGUGCUUAAACAGUUUACCCCUUCAACUUUUAACCAUGUUCCAAGAGGAAGGGGUACAAAAGAGAAAUCUGAUUGGACAGAUCGUUAUGUUAACAAGCCCCUUUACAAGAUUUUUAUUACUUAAGCUGGUAGUUAAUACUAAUUUUUCUUCCCAAUCUGCUCACAGUGGAACAAGAUGUGAACGUUGAAGUGGUGAUGCCAGUACAAGAAUCCACUCCUAGCCAGAUUUCUAUACAACCCAGGAGUCAGAAUGAUGAAAUGAUCAGGGCAAUGCGUUUGCAGCCCGCUCAUGACUUCUUCCGGGCAUUCCCGAUUUACCCAUGGGCAGAUACACAGUAUAGGCAGACUGACUCUGAUGAACUGGAUGUGGACUGGAGGUAGACUGGAGAGAACUGUCUGGGAGAGUUUGUUUUGUCUGUCUGCUUUUAUUUGUGGGCGUUUUCACACUUGCACUUUUAGCCUGGUUUAUAGUAGUAUCUUUCUUGGUCUUUUUUUAUCAUGAUCUUCCUCCUCAUGAUGUAAAGCAUGGUGCUGUUGGAUUUUGACACAGAGAAAAACCCAAGUUUACAACCUAUUUGAUUUGAGCCAAAGCAAACCAACUAUAGGUGUGAAAAUGCCCAAUGUCUUAAAAUAAUUCUUAACCUGUGUGUGUUUUUAUGUUCAGUUUUUUAGCACACUUCUUCCAUUGCAUUUAGGCAGAGUAUCAUUAUGUUGGCAAUAAUGGUUUGUGAUCAAGCUUAGAUAGGGCAUAAAAAAACAGCCUGACUCUACCCGAACCCAUGCAUGCUCUGUCUGAGCUCGACCUAUAAACUGACGUUACGAGCCCGAUUUAAACCAGUAGAGCUUCUUCACUCCAAUUCCAAGUUGUAGGUGCCUGUACUGUACUGUAUUUCUGCCCCCAAAACUUUCCAUUGUCUUGCCCGGUGGCUGCAUUCACUCCCCUUUCUUUAGUUAAAAAAAAAAUAGGUGUGCAGCCUGGUGAUUUGCAGAUAUGCGUAGCUUUUAGUUUUAGUUGUGCGGAAGGCUGCGACUGGGGACAUGUGGAGGAGGUCGCAUGUGAGCAUUGUGCAGGCCAGUCCUGCAGGAUUAUAAAAUUUACAACUUUCACAGUUCGAUUUGUUACAUUGCUAAACUGUGAUUAUCACACCAUAGCUUUAUAUAAAAUUUAAAAAUAGCAUUAAAAAGGCCCGACCCGGCCUGACUGCAGGUUGGGAAUCGGGUCAGGCUCUGGCUCAGGCAGACAACCUAAACUCUAGUUCAGGAUCAUAAUUUGACUCACUAUAGUCACAUUAGGAAGCUGGAUUAAAAUUUUCUAUAAACUAUAUACACUGUAUUGCCAAUAGUAUCCACUUGAUUGCAUUGUGUUAGGUGAUGGGUUUUUAAUGGCCGAUUAGCUCCAUUCAAAUCUUACAUUUCAUAAAGCUCUACACUCUACUGUUCUUGAUCUAGCCUGAAGCUGCAUGAAGUUUGGAGGUGUGUAGUAAUGUAGUGACUUUGCAGAA
rnacentral:lncRNA from 1 species